rnacentral:rRNA from 1 species
GAAUGGAGCACGCCGCGUGUGUGAUGAAAGGGUUUCGGCUCGUAAAACACUGUUGUAAGAGAAGAAUGACAUUGAGAGUAACUGUUCAAUGUGUGACGGUAUCUUACCAGAAAGGAACGGCUAAAUACGUGCCAGCAGCCGCGGUAAUACGGAGGAUGCAUCCGUGCCAG